rnacentral:rRNA from 1 species
UGCCAGCCGCCGCGGUAAUACGAAGGGUGGUAGCGUUGUUCGGAAUCACUGGGCGUAAAGAGCAUGUAGGCUGGUAGAAAAGUUAGAAGUGAAAUCCUGUAGCUUAACCAUAGAACUGCUUCUAAAACUCUCUACCUAGAAUAUGGGAGAGGUAGAUGGAAUUUCUGGUGUAGGGGUAAAAUCCGUAGAGAUCAGAAGGAAUACCGAUUGCGAAGGCGAUCUACUGGAACAUUAUUGACGCUGAGACGCGAAAGCGUGGGGAGCAAACAGGAUUAGAUA